rnacentral:rRNA from 1 species
GGAUGCGAUCAUACCAGCACUAAAGCACCGGAUCCCAUCAGAACUCUGAAGUUAAGCAUGCUUGGGCGAGAGUAGUACUAGGAUGGGUGACCUCCUCGGAACUCCUCGUGUUGCAUUCC